GGGGCAGCUAACUCAGUUCCUCCCCCUUCCUGUUUAUAUUCCGCCCCUCCCUCGGCUUCCUCUCUCUCUCUCUGUGUUUGGGAGCCGGGGAUCUGACAAGCAUCACGCCAAGAUCUCGUGGCCGUCCCCGGCGCCCACUGUCAUAAUGGGAGGGACUGGGAGAGAGAGGAGCUGGAGCUGCUGCUGCUGGUCAUUCCCUAAUUUCCCUAUGUGCAUGGUAUACCCACACUAAGGAGACCUUAAAGGGCAGCUGGAUUCCCCCCAUCUCUGCAUUGGCUGAGACCAUCUGGACUACAAUAGCUUCUACAGUGGUGUGGGUCUUUUCUCCCAUAUUGCAGCUGCGUUGUUUAACAUUGAGAUGCCACCAUUGGAAUUGUGGCAAUGGAAAGCUAAAAGGUAGUCUGAGGUACAUUCUGUGGCCUAAACAAAGUGGAUCAAGCUGUCUCAUGAAUAGGAGACAGGUGUGUGACUGGUAUUAUGGCUAAUUACUAAUUAAUUUCUAGUUUUCAAACCUGUUAAAAAUGCAGUUGUGCUACAGAAACAAUGUUAAUUGGGAUGUCAAAGUGAAAAUGAUUUUGAGAAAAGUAAACUGAUUUAAUGCGCUGUGCAUAGACAUAA